AUACGGAGGGUGCAAGCGUUGUUCGGAAUCACUGGGCGUAAAGGGCGCGCAGGCGGUUUGGUAAGUCAGAUGUGAAAGCCCACGGCUCAACCGUGGAAGUGCAUUUGAAACUGCCAGACUUGAGUACCAGAGGGGAAAGUGGAAUUCCCGGUGUAGAGGUGAAAUUCGUAGAUAUCAGGAGGAAUACCGGUGGCGAAGGCGACUUUCUGGCUGGAUACUGACGCUCAGGCGCGAAAGCGUGGGGAGCAAACAGGAUUAGAAACCCUAGUAGUCC
rnacentral:rRNA from 1 species